UCACACAAAGAGCUUUCGAAUCUUAGUUCUUGGGAAGAGUAACGUACAAUGGACACGAGAUGACCGAAUUUGUGCUGCAAAGGACAUCGGCUUAUAUAAAUCAAUAUGAUCUCCAUAUAGGAGAAAUGACUGUUAGAGAAACUGUGACUUUCUUGGCUAGGUGUCAAGGCAUCGGACACCAUUAUGAAAUGCUAUCAGAGUUAUCAAGAAGAGAGACGAAGGCAAACAUUAGACCUGAUCCUGAUAUAGAUAUCUUUAUGAAGGCAGCUGCCCUAGAGGGGUAGGAGACUGAUAUUGUUACCAAUUAUAUACUCAAGAUUCCUGGACUUGAAAUCUGCACCGACACGAUGGUGGGAGAUGAAAUGAUACGAGGCAUCUCCGGUGAACAAAAGAAACGAGUCAUAACCGGUAAGACCCAUAAGGCCGCUUUAGUAUCCCAUUUUGUUGGAUGAUUGCAAUGACUUUCUAUAAAAUUCGGUUGAUUUUGUUCAAUUUCGUGUUGAUAUAAAACAAGGGAGAUGCUAGUCCGACCAGCCAAAGCACUCUUUACAGAUGAAAUAUCGACUAGCUCGGAUAGUUCGACAACAUUCCAAAUAGUGAACUCACUUAGAUAGUUCAUACACAUCCUCAAUGGGACUACUCUAAUAUCCCUCCUCCAGCCUGCAUCGGAAACUUACGACCUGUUUGACAAUAUCAUCCUUCUUGCGGAUGGGCAAAUAGUGUAAUCAAUGUCCCCGAGAAAAUGUGCUCAAGUUCUUCGAUCACAUGGGUUUUAAAUGUCCUAAAAGGAAAGGAGCAACCGAUUUCUUGCAAGAAGUAAUAUUUUCAGAGCACUGGGUGGUCUCGAGCUGGAAUGAUCAUCCAUCCUAGAAUUUUUAUUACAUGGAGGUAAUGUUGUUGAGUUAUAUAAUCCAACGAAGAACUUCUUGCAUGGGAAAUAAUCUGCUUAAAUUGCUGAUUUUAGUGUGAUAGUAGGUGACUGUAUAGUUGUAAUUUUAGAUCCGAGAAUUGUUGGAAGGUGCUAAUCUUGAUUUGUUCUAAUUUGGAUUUUGUGAUUAUAAUGUGUGUUUUUACUGUGCUUGGCCUAUUGGUAGAUGUUUUGCUUCAAAAUUUAUUUGCCAGAAGCUAAGGGUACUUCGUAACUAUAGAAAAUUUUGGAGUGACGGUGUUGUGGGUCUUGUUAUAGGAAGUACGUCUUGGAAGCGAAAGUGUUGUGAUAAGUUGAUACAGCUAUUUCUCGAGAUAAAUGUUGGGAAAGUUUUGCUUAACUAAAGAUGAAAAAAAAAAAGAAUCUGUUAGAAUUUGGAACCGACCUUAGAAUUUAUAAUAAAGUAGGUUCUAAGUUUCAAGUUCCAACAGAUAAGUUUUAGAUUCCAAAAAAUGAGAAAUCUACAUUCGAAGGUAGAUUCUAAGUUCCAAAUGGAAUUUGUAAGUAAUUUGUAAUUGCUCACCUCUAACUUUAUUGAUUAUAUAUUAUGAUUUAAGUGUAUUGUCAUUGGUUGAUUUUGGCCAUUAAACUCUUUCAUUUUGGUUCGCUUCUGAGGAGAGGCAAGAGUGUCGCAUCCUUGUGGUGAGCAGUAGCUAGGGUAGCGUUCUUGACUUGAUCGACAUCUUUUGUCGGCCACUUGGCCUGUAUCAUUGUGGUCUUUUACUUUCCAUUACU